rnacentral:rRNA from 1 species
GACGAACGCUAGCGGCAGGCUUAACACAUGCAAGUCGAGGGGCAGCACGGGUAGCAAUAUCUGGUGGCGACCGGCAAACGGGUGCGGAACACGUACGCAAUCUACCUUUAUCUGGGGCAUAGCCCGAAGAAAUUCGGAUUAACUCCCCAUAAUAUGAUAGUGUGGCAUCACACUUUAUUUAAACUACCGGUGGAUAGAGAUGAGCGUGCGUCCCACUUAG